AUGGGGAACAUACUGACCUGUUGUGUGUGCCCCAGGGACAGCCCUGAGUUUGACCAGCAACAGGGGUCAGUGUGCCCCUCGGAGUCCGAGAUCUAUGAGGCUGGAGCUGGGGACAGGAUGGCAGGAGCGCCCAUGGCUGCUGCUGUACAGCCUGCUGCAGUGACUGUUGAAGUUGGUGACGAUGUCCACAUGCAUCAUAUCCAUGACCAAGAGAUGCCUGAAGCUUUGGAGUUUAAACCUUCUGCCAAUUCAGAGGCAAGCACAAUAUUCCACGGGAACUGUCAAACAGAUGCUUUGGAGUUUAACCCUUCUGCCAAUCCAGAAGCAAGCACAAUAUUCCACAGGAACUCUCAAACAGAUGGUGAGACAGUGUUUUUUUUUCCACCAAGAGAAACAGUGAAAAGUCUUGUUUGAUCAGGUGUAUUAUAGGAAGUAU
rnacentral:lncRNA from 1 species